rnacentral:rRNA from 1 species
CACGUAGGGCGCAAGCGUUGUCCGGAAUUAUUGGGCGUAAAGAGCUCGUAGGCGGUCUGUUGCGUCUGCUGUGAAAACCCGGGGCUUAACCCCUGGCUUGCAGUGGAUACGGACAGACUAGAGGUAGGUAGGGGAGAAUGGAAUUCCCGGUGUAGCGGUGAAAUGCGCAGAUAUCGGGAGGAACACCGGUGGCGAAGGCGGCGACCUGGGUCGAGACUGACGCUGAGGCGCGAAAGCGUGGGGAGCAAACAGG